AACUCCGUGGUCAGCAACACGAGGCCAUAAUAUGAAAAUGCAUUUGCAAAGAUUACCACCCAUAAAAGCAAGGUUGACCUAACUAAUCUUGGUGAGAAAAUUAUUAGCACUGAUUUGAAGACCCCCAUGUGAGAAUCCUUCUGCUUGGGUUCUGCUUGGGAGGAGGAGGAGGAGGAGGUGCGGCGCACACAUCUUUAUCUUUACUCUCUGGUAGAUGAUUAUUUCCUUGCAGCUCAAUUUCGUUACCAGCAACAACAACACCAGGAGGCAAUUCUUUUCCAUUUAGUUUGGCAAUUUUCUUCAAAAUAAUAAGUGCU
rnacentral:lncRNA from 1 species